rnacentral:lncRNA from 1 species
UUUUCUUUUUUUUUUUUUUUUUUCAAGGAAAGUGCACAAUCUUUUGAGGCCUCACACAGAUGGUGGUGUGAAAGGGUCAAGGCUGUGGAGGCCUGCUAGAGGGCCGAGUUCCAUUUCCCCUUAGAGUGAGUGCAGGGUCAGCCUCUCAGGGCUCGGGGGCUUCAGUGGCCCUGCCUCGGAGAGCUCCAGCCAAUGGCCAUGUCACGCGUGAGGCAGCUGAGGGGCCAGGGCAGCAGAGCAAGGUCUGUUGCCAGGAACUGACUGCCCUGCCUCCCAGCAGCAGGUCAGAGGUGGGGCAUCUGGGACAGGUGGCCACAGCAGCCUGGAGACAUCGCAGAAGGAGACCUUCCGUAGAACACCAGGAGCCCAGCAGUGAGGGGCUACAGGACCAGGACCCAGGGUGAACCAGGACCCAGGGUGACCCAGGACCCAGGGUGAACCAGGACCCAGGGUGAACCAGGAGGGUGAAAGGCCAGGUACUGCCCAGCUAAGGGCUGCAGCAGGCACCGCCUGCUAGGAGAGUCGCAAAGGACAUCCACACAAGUGACCACAAGCUCAAAGUCAACUUGAAACAUGGGCCACAGAUCGCCUGAAGCCAGCUUACCCCCUUGGGACACAGAACAGCCCCCAAAGACGUCCAUGACCUAAUCCCCAGAACCUGCGCAUAUGUUACCUGACACGGCAAGAGGGACUUCGCAUAUGCGACUGAGUUAAGGACUUUGAAAUGAGGCGAUUAUCCUGGAUUACCCAGGUGGGCCCCAGGCAAUCACAGCAAUCCUAAUGGGGGAAGACAGGAGGCUCAGGGUUGGGAGGAGACCGCGAUGGAAGUAGGGAAGCAGGUGGGGGCAGGAGGCACUGGACAGUGCCACGCUACCGCCCUGAAGAUGGAAGAGGGAAGGGAAUCUCCUCUAGAGCCUCCACAGAGGACACCAUGCUGCUGACCCCUUGAUUUUAGGCUUCUGAUUGCGGGACUGUAAGAACACAUUAACGUGUCUUCAGCCACUGAGUUUUUGGGUCAUUUCUCAUAGCACCAAUGGGAAGCCAACAUCUCACCCCACUGGGCAAGUGAAAACUUCCCGUGCCCUAUCCCUCCUUCCGAGCCGGAAGGGGGUCACAAAUCAGGCGGUCAGACACCAAAAAUAAAAAUAUAGGUGGCCAGGUACAGUGGCUCACGCCUGUAAUCCCAGCACUUUGGGAGGCCGAGGCGAGCAGAUCACAAUGUCAGGAGUUCGAAACCAGCCUGGCCAACAUGGUGAAACCCUGUCUCUACUAAAAAACAAAAAUUAGCCAGGGGCGGUGAUGCACUCCUGUAAUCCCAGCUACUCAGGAGGCUGAAAAAGGAGAAUUGCUUGAACCCGGGAGGCAGAGUUUGCAGUGGGCCAAAAUCACGCCACUGCACUCCAGCCUGAGUGACAGAGCCAGACUCCAACUCAAAAAAAAAAAAAAAAAAAAUAGAGGAUAGUGGCCAGGUGCAGUGGCUCCCAAUGCUUUGGGAGACCAAGGCAGGAGGAUUGCUUUAGUCCAGAAGUUCAAGACCAGUCUGGAGAACAUAUUGAGACCUUGUAUCUUAGACAAAAAUUAGCCUGGCAUGGUGGUGCAUGAAUUUUAAAUUCAUGAAUAGCCUGUGGCCCCAGCUACUUGGGAGGCUAAGAUAGGAGGAUCACUUGAGCCUACGAGGUCAAGGCUGCAGUGAGCUAUGAUCGUACCACUGUACUCCAGCCUCGGCAACAGAGUGAGAUCCUGUCAAAAAAAAAAAAAAAAAAGCCCAGCUAAGUUUGAGUUUCAAAUACUUUUUUUUUAGUAGAAAAAGACCCCAAUAUUGCAUGAGAUGUAAUUAUACUAAAAAAGUGUUCACUCUUUAUCUGAAAUGCAAACUUAGCUUGGCAUCCUGUUAUCUGGCAAUCCUCAUCAAAAACAGCAGCUACAUGGAAGGAGGGUAGCAGGGAAGAGAAAAACCACAGUCCCUGCUGCCCCAGUAGGCUCUUGGGGGCAUGGGGGAAAGCUAAUGGUAAGUCAGCAUCCACAUUUUACUACCUGGGACCGAACAUUUUAAAUUCAUGAAUAGAGACUGCUUUUGAUCUAAAGUGGUACCAGGAACUAAUUCCCUAGGAAUAGUCAAAAAAAAAAAAAAAAAAUCACGGGAAAGGUCUGGGCUUUUCAUAGCGUAGAAAGAAGGGACAAGAGGGCAGCCCUCUUCCCGCGUUCCCACUGAGCAGGUUUGAGGGGCAGCAGGAAACAAGGCUGACUGCAUUGUGGCACCCCUCCAGGCUGCCUUGGACGAGUUAAGAUGGGAUCCGUCAGCUUGGUCCCUAACCCCAGGUAAAGAUGGAACAGAUGCUGGCUGUGACCAGGAGUCCUGAAUUUGCCUUGCACCAUUUCCCUCCACCGGACUGGGAGCCACUGCGGGGCAGGAAGCUGCCUUUUCCAUUUCCCAAGACCGGAAUCAAUCACAGCGGCUCAUCGCAUCAUGCAUCCUCUGCAAUGGUUCCUUCCUUUCCAGGGAGGUUGGUCACGGCCAAUGCUGUCCUGUGUCCACCAGGUGGCGCUCGCGAUCACCGCAAAACACAUGGCUACCGUGAUGGUUUUUAAAUAAGAAAUCUUACAAUGGUUUUAGACAUAAAGGACUGUUGAGAAUAUGAUAGAGAGUUCGUGUGCGACCCGCACCCUGUUCCACUGCGCCUUAACAUCUGACAUGACUCUGGUCCAUCUGUCACCAUGAAGGAGCCAAUUCAUAUAUGAGUAAGUCACCUGCAUUUUAUUCACUCUUCCUUCGUGUUUGCCUAAUGUCCUUUUCUACCCCAGGUCCCACGAGACAUUUAGCCAUCAGGUGUCCCCAGGCUGCUCCUGGCUCUCGCGGUUGCUCAGACUCUUUGUUUCUGAUGCUCUUGAC